AUUGAACGCUGGCGGAAUGCUUUACACAUGCAAGUCGAACGGUAGAGGGGGCAACCCCUCGAGAGUGGCGAACGGGUGAGUAAUAUAUCGGAACGUGCCCAGUCGUGGGGGAUAACGUAGCGAAAGUUACGCUAAUACCGCAUACGAUCUAAGGAUGAAAGCGGGGGAUCGCAAGACCUCGCGCGAUUGGAGCGGCCGAUAUCAGAUUAGGUAGUUGGUGGGGUAAAGGCUCACCAAGCCAACGAUCCGUAGCUGGUCUGAGAGGACGACCAGCCAAACAGGAACUGAGACACGGUCCAGACUCCUACGGGAGGCAGCAGUGGGGAAUUUUGGACAAUGGACGCAAGUCUGAUUCAGCCAUUCCGCGUGCAGGAUGAAGGCCCUCGGGUUGUAAACUGCUUUUGUACGGAACGAAAAGGUCUCUCUUAAUACGGGGGGCUCAUGACGGUACCGUAAGAAUAAGCACCGGCUAACUACGUGCCAGCCGCCGCCGUAA
rnacentral:rRNA from 1 species